GAUUUGAAUAACUUAUCUUUCCUUAGAGGGAUCCUUCUUGCAGGAGCCCCUGAAACCUGGACAGUACAACAUGGCUAUCGAUCUGGACGCCGAGCCUGACCCUGAUUGUGACCCAACCCAGGACUUCUGUGAGGAGUGGCUAGCUGGUGAUUACGUGGCUACUCUACAGCUAUGUAAUGGUGAGUGCGGAAGCAAGCAUCCCCACAGCAGGAUCUACGAUACCAAGAAUACCACAUUCACUAUCACCAAUUAAAUGACCAUAUUUUGUUACCGUUUAAACACAA
rnacentral:sRNA from 1 species